rnacentral:ribozyme from 1 species
AGUUGCCAGUUCGAGGCCAAAGCAGAAGCGCUCAUGGUGCAGACCUAUCAGAUUCUAGUGAAUCUGUGAAUUCUGCU